CAGAGGUGAGUGUCUCCGGUCAGUUUAAUAAUGACCACAGCUCUUCCUCAUACAGUCUGCUUUUUAUCUGCAGGUGAAAUUAUUAAAGACCAGACCAUUUAUUUAGACCAGAACACUGCCUUUCUUCUUCUCUGAAAUGCAGCAAACUGAUAAAACAGCAUCUAAAAUCUUAGAAAUUUCAAAGGGCUGUGCAGAAUGACAAUAUAUACUGUGACAUUCAAUAUAAUUUUCAGUGAUUUCAGAGGAAAAGGAGGUAAAUGAAAAUGAAGUGAAGUCUGAUGGAAAUCAUCUGAAUGUAUGAAGACUGAAAUCAUCAACACAGAAAUGAAGAAAUGAGCCGUGUACUCACAAAUAUCAUAUAGCUUUUAGAAAAUAUAGUUUAUCACAGCAUUUCUCUAACCACUGUAUGUGCUGCUUUAUGUAAUAAAUAACACUAAAAUAGA